GUCUACGGCCAUACCACCCUGAACGCGCCCGAUCUCCUCUGAUCUCGGAAGCUAAGCAGGGUCGGGCCUGGUUAGUACUUGGAUGGGAAACCUACAAACAAGGAAGCUAUUGUAGACU
rnacentral:rRNA from 1 species